rnacentral:rRNA from 1 species
GAUGAACGCUGGCGGCGUGCCUAAUACAUGCAAGUCGAGCGAACAGACGAGGAGCUUGCUCCUCUGACGUUAGCGGCGGACGGGUGAGUAACACGUGGAUAACCUACCUAUAAGACUGGGAUAACUUCGGGAAACCGGAGCUAAUACCGGAUAAUAUAUUGAACCGCAUGGUUCAAUAGUGAAAGACGGUUUUGCUGUCACUUAUAGAUGGAUCCGCGCCGCAUUAGCUAGUUGGUAAGGUAACGGCUUACCAAGGCAACGAUGCGUAGCCGACCUGAGAGGGGGAUCGGCCACACUGGAACUGAGACCCGGUCCAGACUCCUACGGGAGGCAGCAGUAGGGAAUCUUCCGCAAUGGGCGAAAGCCUGACGGAGCAACGCCGCGUGAGUGAUGAAGGUCUUCGGAUCGUAAAACUCUGUUAUUAGGGAAGAACAAAUGUGUAAGUAACUAUGCACGUCUUGACGGUACCUAAUCAGAAAGCCAGGGCUAACUACGUG